GUUGGCAGUCACAGUUUAGCUUUUAGCAGUCUGAUGAGACAAAGUUCAUGAUUUAUAUUGUUAUAGAUUUAUUUGUUUGUGAUAAACGUCAUACUCCAUGCUGUUUAGCAGAUUUGAGGCAAGAGCGAGCCAUCAUAACCACCCAAUAUGCAAGUUUUUCUUGUGCAGGUGUUGACCUGUCACCAGCAACAAUCUUAGGAUAAUCGCUUGGGCUUGGAUAAAAAUCAUCCCAUUGCAUUGGCAUGCAAUUGUCAAUCGAGUUACGGAUCUCUCUUUUCCCCCUUUCUUUGUCCUCGUGUACGCUCAUUUGAAUGUAUUCACGAGAACACCCUUUUACCCUAUCCCGUUUGGUGUAAUUGAACUCUUCAGCGGAUGGAUGGAGCAACUGACGUAGAUGCCUGGCUGUAUUUCCCAGGCAUAAAGGUAGGACAACAUUGAUUUCUAUUCUUCCUGUUUGACUGUUUUUGGUGGCGUUAAUUAUAAAUCAGUAGUCACGUAGUCACGGAGUAUGUUUGUUCCUGAGCUAGGCGGUUGACUGCAACUGUUUUUCUCUCCGUUUUUUGUUUUUUCUCAGUAAGGGUCCGCAAAAAAUCUCAUUCGUCGAACGACUGUAGAUCAGGCCUGUUUUCCUGUUUUCCACGUAUUAUACUGAGAUUCACGACAAAAUGUCGUCGCCAAAUUGAUGACGAUUUCACGGUGGACAACUGUCUUUCCCAC